rnacentral:snRNA from 1 species
GUGCUCACUUUGGCAGCACAUGUACUAAAAUUGGAACAAUAUAGAGAUUGGCAUGUAGCAUGGCCCCUGUGAAAGGAUGACACACAAAUUUGUGAAUCAUUCCAUAUUUUA